AAGAGACGUUGCCCUUCGGGGUAUACCUCCCACCCUUUGUUUAUUAUACCUUUGUUGCUUUGGCGGGCCCGUCCUCGGACCACCGGCUUCUGCUGGUCAGUGCCCGCCAGAGGACCUAAAACUCUGUUUGUUAAUAUUGUCUGAGCACUAUAUAAUAGUUA
rnacentral:misc_RNA from 1 species